rnacentral:lncRNA from 1 species
CUGUGGCUCACACCUAGGCCUCCUGCACUUCCCAGUAUCCACAACGGCUCUCUGAAAAAGAGAUUUCAGUGAUGCUUCAUUCUUUAAUCAAGAAGAGAAGGCAGCCCAUAGUACAUUUUAGAAAGAUUCUAUGCCAAUGAACUUAAAUGGGGGUGUUGGGGCUUGUGGAGAGAACUGUCCAUUGGAUAAAAGUUCAUUCCUGAUGGUCAGUGUUGGCAGGUAAAUGAGUCAUUACUGGGCUUUAAAAGAGGCCCCCGCAAGUGGGUACAGCCCCCGGCUUGGUGGACAUGAAGCUUGCCUUGCUCGGGGACAGCAGCACUCUGGCCUGUCCCUCUGCAGUCAGGCUGUACAAGGAUAUACAGGGCCUGGCGGCAGCCGGGCACCACACAAAAGCAGCAAACAUCAGCAGGGGGGAAGACAUGCCAGGAAAGUUUCUGAAACCUCUUCCUCGGCCCUGAGCCAGGCGCCAGCCAUGGACAGAAGACUGCAAGAGCCCAGAGCGGACCUGGACCGGGGAUUCGGUCACACACACUGGAUGCCUACCACAGCAUGGUGUGCCAAGUGGUGCCAUGUUCGCACUCGGGAUUCGAACCAGCGAACCCCAGGCCGCUGAGAAACAGAACGUGCGAACUUAACCGCUGUGCCACCGGGCCGGCCCCAACCAUGAAAUUCUUGAUUGUGCCAUAUUCUCUUGCACCCCAAGCUUGUCUGAAAUCCUUUCCCCCACCUCAGUAUUCACUCCCCCCUCCCCUUCACCUAACUCCUCGUUAUUUUCAGCUAUUCCACGUUACCUCCUCCUUCAGGGAGCUUUCUCUAACCCGCAAGGUUUUGAUAGCUGCUUCGUUUGGGCUCCCACAGUCUCCUGCCUUUCCCUGAUUCUAGCCCUAACACUGUAUUCUAAAGGGCAAUUUAUUUGUCUCCUAACUGGACUUGAGCUCCACAAGGGCAAGAGCCAUCUCUUAUUCAACAUGGUUUGUUGUUUGUUGAAUGAAUAAAAGGCAAUUCGUG